rnacentral:rRNA from 1 species
UACGUAGGGUGCAAGCGUUGUCCGGAAUUAUUGGGCGUAAAGAGCUCGUAGGCGGUUUGUCGCGUCUGCUGUGAAAACCGGAGGCUCAACCUCCGGCCUGCAGUGGGUACGGGCAGACUAGAGUGCGGUAGGGGAGAUUGGAAUUCCUGGUGUAGCGGUGGAAUGCGCAGAUAUCAGGAGGAACACCGGUGGCGAAGGCGGCUACCUGGACAGAAACUGACGCUGAGGCGCGAAAGCUAGGGGAGCAAACAGG